rnacentral:rRNA from 1 species
UACGAACUGUGCGAACGUUAUUCGGAAUCACUGGGCUUACAGGGUGCGUAGGCGGCUCAACAAGUCAGGUGUGAAAGCCCCCGGCUCAACCGGGGAACUGCGCUUGAAACUGUUAGGCUCGAGUCAGCUAGAGGUACACGGAACUUCCAGUGGAGCGGUGAAAUGUGUUGAUAUUGGAAGGAACACCGGAGGCGAAAGCGGUGUACUGGGGCUGGUCGUGACGCUGGAGGCACGA